CGAACCGUGACAAGUUCUUUAAA
rnacentral:tRNA from 1 species